AGUGAACGCUGGCGGCGUGCUUAACACAUGCAAGUCGAACGAGAACGGAUUAUAGCUUGCUAUAAUUGUCAGCUAAGUGGCGCACGGGUGAGUAAUGUAUAGGUAAUAUGCCUUUUACUAAGGAAUAACAAAUGGAAACGUUUGCUAAUACCUUAUACUCCUUAUUAACCUAAGUUAAUAAGGGAAAGAUUUAUUGGUAAGAGAUUAGCCUGUAUUGUAUCAGUUAGUUGGUGGGGUAAUGGCUUACCAAGACUAUGACACAUAACUGGUUUGAGAGGAUGAUCAGUCACACUGGAACUGAGACACGGUCCAGACUCCUACGGGAGGCAGCAGUGGGGAAUAUUGCACAAUGGACGGAAGUCUGAUGCAGCAACGCCGCGUGGAGGAUGACACAUUUCGGUGCGUAAACUCCUUUUAUAUGAGAAGAUAAUGACGGUAUUAUAUGAAUAAGCACCGGCUAACUCCGUGCCAGCAGCCGCCGUAACAC
rnacentral:rRNA from 1 species